rnacentral:rRNA from 1 species
GACGAACGCUGGCGGCGUGCUUAACACAUGCAAGUCGAACGGUGAAGUAGAGCUUGCUCUAUGGAUCAGUGGCGAACGGGUGAGUAACACGUGGGCAACCUGCCCCAGACUCUGGGAUAACUCCUCGAAAGAGGGGCUAAUACCGGAUAUUUGCAUUGCAAGACAUCUUGUGAUGCAGAAAGAAUUUCGGUCUGGGAUGGGCCCGCGGCCUAUCAGCUUGUUGGUGAGGUAACGGCUCACCAAGGCGACGACGGGUAGACGGCCUGCGAGGGCGACCGGCCACACUGGGACUGAGACACGGCCCAGACUCCUACGGGAGGCAGCAGUGGGGAAUAUUGGGCAAUGGGCGCAAGCCUGACCCAGCAACGCCGCGUGAGGGAUGAAGGUCCUCGUAUUGUAAACCUCUUUCAGCAGGGACGAAGCGAAAGUGACGGUACCUGCAGAAGAAGCACCGGCUAACUACGUGCCAGCCGCCGCGGCAA